AAGUAUGUAGUUUUUAACCUUAGUUUUGCAAAAGCUAUGUAGAAUUUAUUAAUUCCAUACUUU
rnacentral:tRNA from 1 species